AAGAGUAGGCUCCGAACUAAUGGAGUCUGAGAUCAAGGCCCUUAUGAAUGCAGCAGAUAUUGACAACAGUGGAACAAUUGACUAUGGUGAAUUUAUUGCUGCUACGUUGCACAUAAAUAAGAUGGAUAGAGAAGAGAAUUUGAUCGCAGCAUUCUCUUUCUUUGACAAGGAUGGUAGUGGUUAUAUAACGAUUGAUGAGCUUCAACAGGCUUGUAGAGACUUUGGUCUAGGUGAUGUUCAAUUAGAUGAUACGGUCACAGAAAUUGAUCAAGAUAAUAUUGGGGGUUGGCAAUAUAUUGUUUUUCCUGGACGGUAUAUUUACACUCAGAGGUUCAAAGAUGCAAAUGUCAAUGAUAAGUGAUGGUUGGUGGAUCAGAUACCUUAUCCUGUGCUCAAUGUGGCAAACCUGCCCAUCUUCAGUGAAUAGUAGAUGCUGCAGCUAGAAGUCGAAACUAUCCCACUCUGAAGCUUAAACUGUGAGUAUCUUGAUCAAUGAAGUGCCAAACAGUUGGGAGCAACUGCUGUCAAUUUGAUUGCUGGAGAAAAACCUGCUGAUGUUUACUCAGGAAUAGCUGCUAGGUAAGUAGCUUUUUCACAAUGCAAUAGUUAUGAGCAUUAUCAAUUUCUCUUUUCUACAUGGAUUCUUUCCAAACCCCUUCCUUUUGCAAGCUUCUCUUUAUUGGUAAUUCUGUGCCUGAUUGGCCCAGUUCUUAUGCAGGCAGUUUCUAGAAGAGCCACCUUUCAUGAAACAAUUAGAGACUAUGAACAAGCAGCCAGUGACCUUCAUAGACUGAUCUCUCUUCUUGAAAAGCAAUCACAAGAAAAGGUUCAACAGUGUGGCUCUGGCGGCAAUGUUAAAGAAUUAAGACAAGCUCGUCGUCACGUAUCCUCAGUGGAAGAAAAGGCUAAAAAUGGAAUCUCCUUGGAUCAUUACCUCAUUUUGUAAGUCCUCUGCAUUUGUGUUUCCUUAUGAUAUAUUUUAUUUCCAUGGACUUGGAUUUCUGUUAUGGAACUUGAUUUAUUACAUAGAUUUU